AUGGGUCUGCGGCCUAUCAGGUAGUAGUGGGUGUAGCGUACCUACUAGCCUACGACGGGUACGGGUUGUGAGAGCAAGAGCCCGGAGAUGGAUUCUGAGACACGAAUCCAGGCCCUACGGGGCGCAGCAGGCGCGAAAACUUUACACUGCGCGAAAGCGCGAUAAGGGGACCUCGAGUGCGUGCGCAAUGCGUACGCUUUUCAGAUGCCUAAAAAGCAUGUGGAAUAAGGGCCGGGCAAGACCGGUGCCAGCCGCCGCGGUAACACCGGCGGCUCAAGUGGUGGCCGCUAUUAUUGGGCUUAAAGGGUCCGUAGCCGGACCAGUUAGUCCCUUGGGAAAUCUUACGGCUUAACCGUAAGGCUGCCAAUGGAUACUGCUGGUCUUGGGACCGGGAGAGGUAAGAGGUACUUCAGGGGUAGGAGUGAAAUCCUGUAAUCCUUGAGGGACCGCCAGUGGCGAAGGCGUCUUACUAGAACGGGUCCGACGGUGAGGGACGAAAGCUAGGGGCACGAACCGGAUUAGAUACCCGGGUAGUCCUAGCCGUAAACGAUGCGAGCUAGGUGUCACGUGGAUUGCGAAUCCAUGUGGUGCCGAAGGGAAACCGUGAAGCUCGCCGCCUGGGAAGUACGGCCGCAAGGCUGAAACUUAAAGGAA
rnacentral:rRNA from 1 species